rnacentral:rRNA from 1 species
GGUUAAGCGACUAAGCGUACACGGUGGAUGCCCUGGCAGUCAGAGGCGAUGAAGGACGUGCUAAUCUGCGAAAAGCGUCGGUAAGGUGAUAUGAACCGUUACAGCCGGCGAUGUCCGAAUGGGGAAACCCAGUGCAAUUCGUUGCACUAUCGUUAACUGAAUACAUAGGUUAACGAGGCGAACCGGGGGAACUGAAACAUCUAAGUACCCCGAGGAAAAGAAAUCAACCGAGAUUCCCCCAGUAGCGGCGAGCGAACGGGGAGCAGCCCGGAGUCUGAAUCAGCUUGUGUGUUAGUGGAAGCGUCUGGAAAGUCGCAGGGUACAGGGUGAUACUCCCGUACACUAAAGCACACAGGUUGUGAACUCGAAGAGUAGGGCGGGACACGUGGUAUCCUGUCUGAAUAUGGGGGGACCAUCCUCCAAGGCUAAAUACUCCUGACUGACCGAUAGUGAACCAGUACCGUGAGGGAAAGGCGAAAAGAACCCCGGCGAGGGGAGUGAAAAAGAACCUGAAACCGUGUACGUACAAGCAGUAGGAGCCCACUAGUUGGGUGACUGCGUACCUUUUGUAUAAUGGGUCAGCGACUUAUAUUCUGUAGCAAGGUUAACCGUAUAGGGGAGCCGCAGGGAAACCGAGUCUUAACUGGGCGUUAAGUUGCAGGGUAUAGACCCGAAACCCGGUGAUCUAGCCAUGGGCAGGUUGAAGGUUGGGUAACACUAACUGGAGGACCGAACCGACUAAUGUUGAAAAAUUAGCGGAUGACUUGUGGCUGGGGGUGAAAGGCCAAUCAAACCGGGAGAUAGCUGGUUCUCCCCGAAAGCUAUUUAGGUAGCGCCUCGUGAAUUCAUCUUCGGGGGUAGAGCACUGUUUCGGCUAGGGGGUCAUCCCGACUUACCAACCCGAUGCAAACUACGAAUACCGAAGAAUGUUAUCACGGGAGACACACGGCGGGUGCUAACGUCCGUCGUGAAGAGGGAAACAACCCAGACCGCCAGCUAAGGUCCCAAAGUCAUGGUUAAGUGGGAAACGAUGUGGGAAGGCCCAGACAGCCAGGAUGUUGGCUUAGAAGCAGCCAUCAUUUAAAGAAAGCGUAAUAGCUCACUGGUCGAGUCGGCCUGCGCGGAAGAUGUAACGGGGCUAAACCAUGCACCGAAGCUGCGGCAGCGACACUAUGUGUUGUUGGGUAGGGGAGCGUUCUGUAAGCCGUUGAAGGUGGCCUGUGAGGGUUGCUGGAGGUAUCAGAAGUGCGAAUGCUGACAUAAGUAACGAUAAUGCGGGUGAAAAACCCGCACGCCGGAAGACCAAGGGUUCCUGUCCAACGUUAAUCGGGGCAGGGUGAGUCGACCCCUAAGGCGAGGCCGAAAGGCGUAGUCGAUGGGAAACAGGUUAAUAUUCCUGUACUCGGUGUUACUGCGAAGGGGGGACGGAGAAGGCUAUGUUGGUACGGGCGACGGUUGUCCCGGUUUAAGCAUGUAGGCGGAUGUUCCAGGUAAAUCCGGAACGUCACUAACGCUGAGGUGUGAUGACGAGGCACUACGGUGCUGAAGUGACAAAUGCCCUGCUUCCAGGAAAAGCCUCUAAGCAUCAGGUAACAUCAAAUCGUACCCCAAACCGACACAGGUGGUCAGGUAGAGAAUACCAAGGCGCUUGAGAGAACUCGGGUGAAGGAACUAGGCAAAAUGGUGCCGUAACUUCGGGAGAAGGCACGCUGAUGGUAGGUGAAGUGACUUGCUCAUGGAGCUGAAAUCAGUCGAAGAUACCAGCUGGCUGCAACUGUUUAUUAAAAACACAGCACUGUGCAAACACGAAAGUGGACGUAUACGGUGUGACGCCUGCCCGGUGCCGGAAGGUUAAUUGAUGGGGUUAUCCGUAAGGAGAAGCUCUUGAUCGAAGCCCCGGUAAACGGCGGCCGUAACUAUAACGGUCCUAAGGUAGCGAAAUUCCUUGUCGGGUAAGUUCCGACCUGCACGAAUGGCGUAAUGAUGGCAAGGCUGUCUCCACCCGAGACUCAGUGAAAUUGAACUCGCUGUGAAGAUGCAGUGUACCCGCGGCAAGACGGAAAGACCCCGUGAACCUUUACUAUAGCUUGACACUGAACACUGGUCCUUGAUGUGUAGGAUAGGUGGGAGGCUUUGAAGUGUGGACGCCAGUCUGCAUGGAGCCAUCCUUGAAAUACCACCCUUUAAUGGCUGGUGUUCUAACGUGGGCCCCUAAUCGGGGUUGCGGACAGUGUCUGGUGGGUAGUUUGACUGGGGCGGUCUCCUCCUAAAGAGUAACGGAGGAGCACGAAGGUCAGCUAAUCCUGGUCGGACAUCAGGAGGUUAGUGCAAUGGCAUAAGCUGGCUUGACUGCGAGCGUGACGGCGCGAGCAGGUGCGAAAGCAGGUCAUAGUGAUCCGGUGGUUCUGAAUGGAAGGGCCAUCGCUCAACGGAUAAAAGGUACUCCGGGGAUAACAGGCUGAUACCGCCCAAGAGUUCAUAUCGACGGCGGUGUUUGGCACCUCGAUGUCGGCUCAUCACAUCCUGGGGCUGAAGUAGGUCCCAAGGGUAUGGCUGUUCGCCAUUUAAAGUGGUACGCGAGCUGGGUUUAGAACGUCGUGAGACAGUUCGGUCCCUAUCUGCCGUGGGCGCUGGAGAAUUGAGGGGGGCUGCUCCUAGUACGAGAGGACCGGAGUGGACGCAUCACUGGUGUUCGGGUUGUCAUGCCAAUGGCAUUGCCCGGUAGCUAAAUGCGGAAGAGAUAAGUGCUGAAAGCAUCUAAGCACGAAACUUGCCCCGAGAUGAGUUCUCCCUGACUCCUUGAGAGUCCUGAAGGAACGUUGAAGACGACGACGUUGAUAGGCCGGGUGUGUAAGCGCAGCGAUGCGUUGAGCUAACCGGUACUAAUGAACCGUGAGGCUUAACCUU